rnacentral:lncRNA from 1 species
UAUUAAGUUCCCUCUGUAUGCAGAAUAUUGUGCAACAUGGUUAUGGGUACUACAGUGGAUGUGAGUGUGUAGACCUUGUACAAUAGAGCUUAUAGGCUAAUGAGAAGACAGGAAGAAACAACAGGAACACAUAUAGCUGGAAUGCAGAUGGGAUCUGUGCUACUUACGCUAGCCAUGGGAUGAUUAGAACAAGAUAAGAGACAUGAGGAAGACUUCUUCAAGGAGGUGCUCAAGCCAUGUUUUGGAAAAGAGAACUCAAGGUCUGGCAGGGAGAAAGGAGCAAGGUCCCCAAGCAUGCUAACCAUGAAGCAGUGAUAUCGCACAGCACCUGCUUCCAGCAGCCCGGAGCCAAGGGGCAAAAUGGAAAGAGUCAGCAUUUCUCUUUUAGGUUCUCUGCCUCUCUAGUGUGUAAGCUUUUAACCCCCACUACGCGUCUUCGUUCCAUUCUCCUCCAGUACCCAUUUUAGUGAGCUUCUGUUGUUUCUGCCCCAGGAUAUCUCUAACAAAGAACCAAGAUAUUUAUCAGGAGAACUUCUCCCACUCUCCUCUCAGUCCUUGGGGAUCUGAUGAAAUGACACUUCUUGGACUGUGGGGUGGAGCAUGUGAGUCACACCUGGGCCAAUCAUUUUAUCCUAUUUCGUGACCACAUGACCAAUUCAGGGAUGGGAACAUGACCCAGGUGGAACCUAUGAGAGGCAGUGAGAUCUUUCCAGGUACUUCCAGGAAAGAGGGUCUCACUUUUCCCUCUAUAAUGUACACCAGAGAAGGUGUGUGGCUGAAGCUGCUACCAUCCUCUUGUGGCUACAGGAAGCUGGGAUUAAUUGUAACAACGCAAUUGGCAGAUCUGAAAGCUGAGAACAAAAAAGCAAAAAACCUGUGUUCUAAUAACACUAUAUAUGAGCCCUAAAUCCAGCUAUGCCUGGAGCCAGUCUUACUGUGGAAUUUUUAACCUAAGCUGGUUGAUAAAUUAUCUUUUCAUUUAAGACAAAGUCAUGGCAGAUUUUUUGCCACUUGUGAGAAGAAGACAGAUACACCCAAGAAGCUCCUGUUCUUUCUCAUUAACCCAUAUUAAAACCCACUUUCGGGAAA